rnacentral:rRNA from 1 species
AGGAUCAUUAUUGAAUUUUGAAAGAGGUUGUAGCUGAUCAAAACAAGAUAUGUGCACACCUCAUUUCCAAAUUUUACACCAUGUGCACUCUUUGUAGGCCGACUUUGUUUGGUCUAUGUCUUUUUAAAUACACCCAAAAAGUUUCAGAAUGUUAAAUCAUAAGCUUGUUUUGCAGGCUGAAAAAAUNAAUACAACUUUCAACAACGGAUCUCUUGGCUCUCGCAUCGAUGAAGAACGCAGCGAAAUGCGAUAAGUAAUGUGAAUUGCAGAAUUCAGUGAAUCAUCGAAUCUUUGAACGCACCUUGCGCUCCUUGGUAUUCCGAGGAGCAUGCCUGUUUGAGUGUCAUUAAAUUCUCAAUCCUCUUCAAACUUGCUUUGUAAGAGGCUUUGGAUUUGGAGUGUUGCUGGCCUUGUCGGCUCCUCUUAAAUGUAUUAGCUUGGAUCUUUUUGCAGAUAAGCUUUAGUUUGAUAAAUAUCUAUGCUAAUUGCUUUUGAAACAAAAUGCCAGCUUCCAAUUGUUGUUGUUCAUACAACUCUCUU